UUGAGCAAAAACGGGAGCCAAUACUGUUGCGCAGUUUGUUUCUUUUGUUUUGUUUGUUUUCCUUUGUUUGCCUUCUGUUUGCGCAGGCUGAGAAGUUUAUAACCGUUUGACCGGAACACGGUAAUUCGUGCGUCGGGAUUUUGCUCAAUAAAAUA
rnacentral:ncRNA from 1 species